UACGAAGGGGGCUAGCGUUGCUCGGAAUCACUGGGCGUAAAGGGCGCGUAGGCGGCCGGCUAAGUCGGGGGUGAAAGCCUGUGGCUCAACCACAGAAUGGCCCUCGAUACUGGACGGCUCGAGACCGGAAGAGGUUGGUGGAAUUGCGAGUGUAGAGGUGAAAUUCGUAGAUAUUCGGAGGAACACCAGUGGCGAAGGCGGCUCACUGGACCAUUACUGACGCUGAGGUGCGAAAGCGUGGGGAGCAAACAGG
rnacentral:rRNA from 1 species